rnacentral:rRNA from 1 species
UUCUCCCUACGGGGCGCAGCAGUGGGGGAUAUUGCACAAUGGGGGAAACCCUGAUGCAGCGACGCCGCGUGAGUGAAGAAGUAUUUCGGUACGUAAAGCUCUAUCAGCAGGGAAGAAAAAUGACGGUACCUGACUAAGAAGCCCCGGCUAACUACGUGCCAGCAGCCGCGGUAAUACGUAGGGGGCAAGCGUUAUCCGGAUUUACUGGGUGUAAAGGGAGCGUAGACGGCAGGGCAAGUCUGGAGUGAAAGCCCGGGGCCCAACCCCGGGACUGCUUUGGAAACUGCCAUGCUGGAGUGCUGGAG